rnacentral:tRNA from 2 species
GGUUUACUAGCUCAGUCGGUAGAGCACUUGACUUUUAAUCAAGUUGUCCGGGGUUCGAUUCCCCGGUAAGCCACCA